rnacentral:piRNA from 1 species
UCUUAAUAUAGAACCUGCACAGCCUGCUU